GCCUGGGUGGCUCAGUCGGUUGAGCGUCCGACUUCAGCUCAGGUCAUGAUCUCGCGGUCCGUGAGUUCGAGCCCCGCAUCGGGCU
rnacentral:tRNA from 1 species